rnacentral:rRNA from 1 species
AGGAUGAACGCUAGCUACAGGCUUAACACAUGCAAGUCGAGGGGCAGCAUGGUCUUAGCUUGCUAAGACUGAUGGCGACCGGCGCACGGGUGAGUAACACGUAUCCAACCUGCCGUCUACUCUUGGACAGCCUUCUGAAAGGAAGAUUAAUACAAGAUGGCAUCAUGAGUCCGCAUGUUCACAUGAUUAAAGGUAUUCCGGUAGACGAUGGGGAUGCGUUCCAUUAGAUAGUAGGCGGGGUAACGGCCCACCUAGUCUUCGAUGGAUAGGGGUUCUGAGAGGAAGGUCCCCCACAUUGGAACUGAGACGCGGUCCAAACUCCUACGGGAGGCAGCAGUGAGGAAUAUUGGUCAAUGGGCGAGAGCCUGAACCAGCCAAGUAGCGUGAAGGAUGACUGCCCUAUGGGUUGUAAACUUCUUUUAUAAAGGAAUAAAGUCGGGUAUGCAUACCCGUUUGCAUGUACUUUAUGAAUAAGGAUCGGCUAACUCCGUGCCAGCAGCCGCGGUAAUACGGAGGAUCCGAGCGUUAUCCGGAUUUAUUGGGUUUAAAGGGAGCGUAGAUGGAUGUUUAAGUCAGUUGUGAAAGUUUGCGGCUCAACCGUAAAAUUGCAGUUGAUACUGGAUAUCUUGAGUGCAGUUGAGGCAGGCGGAAUUCGUGGUGUAGCGGUGAAAUGCUUAGAUAUCACGAAGAACUCCGAUUGCGAAGGCAGCCUGCUAAGCUGCAACUGACAUUGAGGCUCGAAAGUGUGGGUAUCAAACAGGAUUAGAUACCCUGGUAGUCCACACGGUAAACGAUGAAUACUCGCUGUUUGCGAUAUACUGCAAAGCGGCCAAGCGAAAGCGUUAAGUAUUCCACCUGGGGAGUACGCCGGCAACGGUGAAACUCAAAGGAAUUGACGGGGGCCCCGCACAAGCGGAGGAACAUGUGGUUUAAUUCGAUGAUACGCGAGGAACCUUACCCGGGCUUAAAUUGCAGAUGAAUUACGGUGAAAGCCGUAAGCCGCAAGGCAUCUGUGAAGGUGCUGCAUGGUUGUCGUCAGCUCGUGCCGUGAGGUGUCGGCUUAAGUGCCAUAACGAGCGCAACCCUUGUUGUCAGUUACUAACAGGUUCCGCUGAGGACUCUGACAAGACUGCCAUCGUAAGAUGUGAGGAAGGUGGGGAUGACGUCAAAUCAGCACGGCCCUUACGUCCGGGGCUACACACGUGUUACAAUGGGGGGUACAGAGGGCCGCUACCACGCGAGUGGAUGCCAAUCCCCAAAACCUCUCUCAGUUCGGACUGGAGUCUGCAACCCGACUCCACGAAGCUGGAUUCGCUAGUAAUCGCGCAUCAGCCACGGCGCGGUGAAUACGUUCCCGGGCCUUGUACACACCGCCCGUCAAGCCAUGGGAGCCGGGGGUGCCUGAAGUGCGUAACCGCGAGGAGCGCCCUAGGGUA